rnacentral:rRNA from 1 species
AACGUUAGCGGCGCGCUUAACACAUGCAAGUCGAGCGAGAAAGGGGCAACCCCGGUAAAGCGGCGCACGGGUGAGUAACACGUAGAUAAUCAACCCCCAGGUGGUGGAUAACCUUCCGAAAGGAGGGCUAAUACAGCAUGAGACCACGUUCCCGAAAGGGAGUGAGGUCAAAGCCGGCCUCUUCAUGAAAGCUGGCGCCAGGGGAUGAGUCUGCGGCCCAUCAGCUAGUUGGUAGGGUAAUGGCCUACCAAGGCGAAGACGGGUAGCUGGUCUGAGAGGAUGAUCAGCCACACUGGAACUGAGACACGGUCCAGACUCCUACGGGAGGCAGCAGUGGGGAAUCUUGCGCAAUGGGCGAAAGCCUGACGCAGCGACGCCGCGUGAGUGAUGAAGGCCUUCGGGUUGUAAAGCUCUGUGGAGAGGGACGAAUAAGUCGUGGCCAACAUCCACGAUGAUGACGGUACCUCUUUAGCAAGCACCGGCUAACUCUGUGCCAGCAGCCGCGGUAAGACAGAGGGUGCAAACGUUGUUCGGAAUUACUGGGCGUAAAGCGUGUGUAGGCUGCUCUGCAAGUCGGAUGUGAAAGCCCUGGGCUCAACCUAGGAAGUGCAUUCGAAACUGCAGAGCUUGAGUCCUGGAGAGGAAGGCGGAAUUCUCGGUGUAGAGGUGAAAUUCGUAGAUAUCGAGAGGAACACCGGCGGCGAAGGCGGCCUUCUGGACAGUGACUGACGCUGAGACACGAAAGCGUGGGGAGCAAACAGGAUUAGAUACCCUGGUAGUCCACGCCGUAAACGAUGGGUGCUAGGUGUCAGGGGCUUUGACCCCUCUGGUGCCGAAGCUAACGCACUAAGCACCCCGCCUGGGGAGU